rnacentral:rRNA from 1 species
AUGGUGUUUGCACCCCAGGCAGCCUCCUCGAUGGGAUCGUCUUCGCCGCCGCCGUUUCACUUCGGUCAUCUCAUCACCAUCAAGCUCUCCGCAGACAACUACAUCUUCUGGCGUGCGCAGGUUCUCCCGCUCUUGGGGAGUCACUACCUGCUAGGCUACGUCGACGGAUCGCUUCUCUGCCCACCCGCGCUGGUAGACAGCGUGCACGGUCCUGUCUACAAUCCGGCCCAUCGCAUCUGGACGGGGCAGGACCAGGCGAACCUCUCCUCCAUCCAGGGGUCGCUCUCGCCGGCAGUUGCCGGCCUUGUUGUCUUCGCGAAGACGUCUCAUGAGGCCUGGACCAUCCUUGAGCGCACCUUUGCAGCGCAGUCCCAGGCUCGUGUCUCUGCACUCCGUCGUCAGCUUGGAGAGUGUCAGAAGCUUGACUCCACGGCCACUGAGUUCUACAACAAGGUCAAGGGCCUUGCCGACACAUUGGCCUCCAUUGGACAGCCCCUCACCGACUCCGAGUUCAACUCGUUUAUUGUCAAUGGUCUUGAUGAGGAGUAUGAUGCCUUAGUCGAGAUCAUCAACGAGCGGGGUAACUCGACACCCAUGUUGGCACACGAGGUUUUCUCUCGGCUUCUUCUCACUGAGCAACGGGUCGAGACUCGCCGCACCAGGGGCACUGGCUCUCUCUCGGCCAACGUCGCCACCAAGGGUGGCCGCUCUUCUUCAUCACCCCGGUCUCCCUUGGGGCUGCCACCGUCGCCCGCCUCGGCCCCCCCACCUACUGCGACCUUACCGGGGGCUGGCGGUCCACGUGUGUGUCAGCUUUGUGGCCGCGAUGGGCACUGGGCCUCCAAGUGUCAUAAGCGCUUCCAGCGAAGCUUCCUUGGUCUUGGCAAUGACGGCAAAGAUACACGCAACAAUGCCCGUCAGUUCGCCAUGGCUGAUCGUCCCGCACCGCAGAAGCACCAGGGACACACUCAGUCCUACUCCAUCGAUCCACACUGGUACAUGGACUCUGGGGCGACAGAGCAUCUGACCAGCGAGAUGGGGAAGCUUCACACUCGUGAACCCUAUCAUGGCUCCGACAAGAUCCACACCGCCAAUGGAGCAGGUAUGCACAUCUCUCAUGUUGGUCAAGCAUCUCUUCUCACUAGACAUGCCAAUAGGAGUCUUCAGCUUCGCAAUGUUCUUCGCGUUCCAUCUGUGACCCGCAAUCUUCUUUCAGUUCCUAAACUCACACGUGAUAAUAAUGUGCUUUGUGAAUUUCACCCUUUUGAUCUUUUUAUUAAGGAUCGGGGCACGAGGGACAUUCUUCUUAGUGGGCGGUUGUGCCAGGGCCUCUACCGUCUGGAGCAUCCUGGCGUCGCUCGCGUUUUCAGUGGAGUUCGGGUCUCUCCGUCACAGUGGCAUGCUCGUCUUGGUCACCCGGCCACACCUAUUGUCCGUCAUAUUUUGCGUCGUCAUGAGCUUCCUAGUUUGUCUAGUAAUAAAGAUGUAGCAGUGUGUGAUGCUUGUCAGCAGGGGAAGAGUCAUCAACUUCCUUUUUCGGAGUCCAGUCGUGAGGUGAAACAUCCGUUAGAACUUGUGUUUUCAGAUGUAUGGGGUCCUGCUCAGACUUCUGUCAGUGGUCAUAAUUACUAUAUCAGUUUCGUUGAUGCUUAUAGUCGCUUUACCUGGCUUUACCUUAUUAAACGCAAAUCUGAUGUGUUUGAUAUUUUUGUUCAGUUUUAA